rnacentral:rRNA from 1 species
UACGGAGGGUGCGAGCGUUGUCCGGAAUCACUGGGCGUAAAGGGCGCGUAGGCGGCCGUGUAAGUCACUUGUGAAAUCCCGGGGCUCAACUCCGGGGCUGCAGGUGAGACUGCGUGGCUAGAGCACGGUAGAGGCGAGUGGAAUUCCCGGUGUAGCGGUGGAAUGCGUAGAUAUCAGGAAGAACACCAACGGCGAAGGCAGCUCGCUGGGACGGUACUGACGCUGAGACGCGAAAGCGUGGGGAGCAAACAGG